rnacentral:lncRNA from 1 species
UCUAGUUAUACAAAUAUAUCAUCAAAAAUGUAAUAAAUAUUUAUGGUCAAAAUAGUUUAAAAAUCAUCAUUUUUAGACCAUUAUUCUUAUGAAAAAAGUAUAAAAAUCCUUAUAUAGCACAGCCUAUUUUGUAAACAUACAUGUACAGUUCUACACUAUAUAAGGAAAGAAGAAAUCAAUCUUAUUCUUGAACAAGGCACAGAGCAUGAUUAUUCACAAUAAGAAAUGUUGAAAUGUUGUUCCAACUAUAUGACCUAUGAUUGCUUAUAAGCAAUCAUAGAUCAUAUAGUUGGAGGGUGAUAGCAAACUAAGUUUUAACUGGAUGAUUUAUGACAUAUUAUAUAUGAAUUCAUCAAUACAAGAAAAGAUCGGAAAAAAUUUUUGGCAACAAAUCAGAUUUAAAGAAAUAACUCUAUAUUUCAAUAACUGCAGAAUGAUUAUUCUCCAACAACAUAUUUUAAGAAACAUAGCAUUUAAAAGAUACCUUUGUACAAUCAUUCUUUACAAUAGGAUGAAUGUAUAUAGGAUACAUGUCAAGGAACUAGAUAUAAGAUUAAUAGAACAUAAAAAGAAUAUCCAAUGGUGAAAAUACAGACAAGCUUUGGCUGUAAGAGCCAUUCAAUAUGAUUUGGACAUGAAAUGGCAGCAUACAAAAAUGAUAAGGAAGGCAAAAACUGAUAUUAAUAUAAAAAUAUUUAAAAAAUAGAAGUAAUUAAUUUACAUGAAUCAUAAACAUGAGAAGUUCAAGCUUAUUCAAUAUUUGAAAAAUUAUGCAAC